rnacentral:lncRNA from 1 species
GAAAGCUCAAGUGCCACUGUCUUGUCAUUUUUGUAAUGAACAUACAGUACAAUGGAAUUGUGAAGAAUGUGAUGUAUUCAUGUGUACGUCGUGUAAGGAGAAAAUCCAUCAGCGACUAAAAUCUACUCAGGAUCACGAAAUCGUCUCUUUUUCCAAUAUUUCAAAGGAGAAUUUUCCUCAAAGGGAAGUUGCAUCGGAGGUAAUUUCUUCCGUUUUCAAUUACUACACAACCGAAGUACCAGUGAUCAACUCUUUGUUGUGCUCUGGUGAUGAUAUUAUAUAUUUCAUGUGUAAUAAACUAGAAGAGAAAUUUCGAUUACUGAAGGGGAAGAUGCUCAAGUAUUUGACAUGGC